AGAAACAAAGAGACAGAGGAUAUAAAUGGGCCUGUAAAUAUCAGCAGAAAACACGGUGUGAAUACUCUCUUUGUUUCAUUUUCAGGCCGUACAAAAAAUAAUAAAACUGAAGAAAAGUCUUUGUUGUUCAGGCAUUCAGUGUCUCAGUAGACUCCCUAAUUGGUUCAUGAUUUGAUGUUAAUAUAUGUGUUCUGUUUAUUGUAUGUAGGCUUGAUUUGCUCAGUUGUCAUUUAUUUAUUAGCCUCGCAAACAUAUGCUAAAUAUUCACACAGCUCAAACAAUAUCUGCAGAAUAACAAUAUAUUUUAAUCUGUUUGCUUCUGGCAAAUACUAGUGUAUAUACACAAUGCCAGUACCUGCUUCAAUCUCUCUGACACAGACAUUCAUGAGAUAUUUCUAUUUUCUGCACUUCACCAAACAGAAUCUAGUGUCUGCUGACUCUUCAUGGAUCAGGUUCCUCUGAUAAUGAGCGAUCUUGUGUACAGUGUUCUCAAUGCAUCAAUUCUCUGCUGACUAAUCAAACUGGAGUCCUACUGAGACAUCAGUACAGCUUGUGUAUGCAGCAAGUAUGGCUUUACCAUCAGGUUCAUGGAGUUCAGACCAAAUCUGGCCAACAUAACCAUAGGAAAUCAGCAUGUAAUUAAGCAUAUUAUCCUCACAAGCAUAAAGAGCGUUUGAGAAACAUCUCGCUCAGCAAACCUGCUCUUUAAAAGGCUAUAAACUUCCUCUCGAAACCCUAUAUGACAGCAGCUUUGGACCCGCAGUGAUUUGAGGGAAAACUCAACUGUUACACAGUUACCGUUUGCCCAUUUAUACGCAACAGGCUGUAAGAGAUUUAAGGGUGUGUUCACAUUAGAAAAUUGGUUCCCUUGGUCCAGAUUAGAAUAAAGAAAUAAAAUGAUACAUGUAGUUCUUACCCACAUAGCACUCGCACUGUCAUUUUUGGCCUAAUAAAACUACUUCACAUGCACUUAUAUGAAAAUUUAGGCUGAUACAAAUAACUGUUUAUCUUCAGAAGCCAAUUUACAGAAUAUAGGCCAAUUAUUUUUUCUAAGCAUGAUUACAAAAAAAAAAGGCAAAAAGAAAACAAGGAAAUUGUGGGACACCUAGAUCUUUCUUUUCACAAAAUCAUUACAAACUAAAAUUUUAAAGUCCUCUUUUUUUAAUAAUGAAAAACUCACAUUGCCAUCAUGUUGUCUUCCUUCAAGCAUAAACUCCUUUGAUGGAAAUAAUCUUUAAUUUAUCAGACAAUUAUAUAUUUUAUUAACACUAAAAGGUAAACACCUAUAAUGAUAUAGCCAGUGAUAUAUUGUUACAAUCUCCGUCUAGGGUCAAGGACCUAACAUGAAAGAACACUGGACAAAUAAAAUCCCUUUUAUGAACCCUUGGAGUCAGAUGCGUUUAUUUGUCUUUUUCUUUUUUAAAACACUCAAAACGUGAAGCCAAAUGCAAGACCCACACAAAAAUAAUAAAUAAAAAUAUAUCCCCUACCUAAACAGCAACUGAAACUAAAUACACCAAACAAAAUAAUGAAAAUAAAUAUAUAUAAAACUACUCCUACCGCCCUGACUAUAUAUGAAAACAAAAUAACCCCUACUGCUUCUCAACGUAUAUAUACAAAGUACAAUAUUUACAAUAACAACAAACAGACCAAAACAAAAUAUUAAUAAUAAUAAUAAGAGGGGGGUGCGGGUUACGGAUUGAUAAACAACAAAGGUCACAAUUGAUCCACACACCAAAACAGGAAAACACAAUAUAAAAAAAUAACACCACAUAAAGAUUAAAAACAAUUACUAAAAAUCACUGAAAUAAUGCUGUGUGCAAAGGUAAACUAGUUGAGUAUACAUGCAAUGCCACUCUUAUCAUUUAUAACCCAUGAAGAGCUUAUGAAAUGUGUAAUUAAAUUUCCCACAUAAAGAAGGAUCUGUUUAAUGAGAUAGUUACUCCAAAAAUGAAACCUCUAUUAUCAUUUAUUCACCUUUUACUUGUUCAAAACAUAUCUGAGUUUCUUCUUUUGUUUAACACAGGGUUUUGUUGAACAAUAGGCUGCACUCAUUGACUUUCACAUUUUUUUCCAAACAGCUUUCUUCAAAUAUAUUUUGCGUUCAGCAGAAGAAAUCUCAACCACCCGUGAAGAAGGGUAUCUUUUUACAUUUUCUGGAGAACAACCCCUUUAAGGAGACACCUGUGUAGAACUGUAAUGUGACUGUGAAGAGAAAAUGGUGGCUCUCCUUUGUUUCAACUGUUUGGUUUGUUUUGCCCUUGGUUAAUGUUGCUUUGAUAUUCUGUAAACAUGCACCAGGGUUUAAUUAAGCAGACAUGUUUUACAUUUUUACACAAAAACCCUAAUUGUACACUAAUUCAAAUAAAAGUUAAAAAAUAAAUUUAUAUUAAGCAUAUCCUAUAUAAGAAAGCAGAAAACCAAACAGAAUUGUCAACACUGGAAUAUUUUCAAAAACACCUUCAAAAACAUCGUCAGUUUCACACACUUGCUAAUUUGAAACACAUUUGGUUUAGAAAUAGUAUAAUACAGCGUGUACCAUUUGUGUGGUUUUAGUGUGAUGAUAGAAAAAAACAUAUAGUCAGGAAAACAGCCAUACUCUAAGAGAAAGAUAUAUUGUGUUUAUCAAAACGUGAACACUGGGUCAACUUCUCGGUCGUGAUGUUUAUCGUCAGGGGGACAAUAAGCUGAUCAGAAUCACACGCUGCACACAUGGGCCGCGAAUGUUGAUACGCCGUCGACCAAUCAGAGAGCGUCUCCUGUCAGGGCUCAGCCAAUAGAACGCGAGCGACGAAACACAAUGAACGGAGCUAUGUACCGGUGCUGAAAACACACUGGAGUGGUGCAUGUAUCUCACAGUGCAACAUAUUCAGCUGAUAGACUCGUGAUGCUGAACUGACGAUGAUAUAAUGGUGUAAACACCCAAAUAAAAGGUUGGUAGACUGAGAGGAGUUUGCGUCAACCAGACCACUACUUCAGGCCGACAUGGGUAAGGUUCGCAGGUUUUUUUUUCUGUGGACACAGAAGCUAACUUUAAUUUUUGUGUUUCUCCAAGCUUCAAACAUGGCAAAUUUACUCAAGUCUAUGUUCUGCGGCCCGCACCAUUUGAAUCACAUCCAGAUUCAUUUAAAUCUGAAAAAGAAACUAAAUCAAAAGCCACAUCGCUUGGCUAUUUACAAAACAAAUGACUUUAGGCUAGAUAUCGAAAACAUGCAUUAUUUUAUACAACUAUGAACAAACAUGUUAACAUAUUAACAAGGAUGCAGCAUAAGGAAAUUCCUGAGUUUGCAGUAACUGAAAUGCCAGCAGGACUGGUCUGCAAAAGCACUUCUCGGUAGCUCAUAUCUGCUCGAGAGCUCCACAGUUUUUUAGAUUCUUAGCAUCUGAUGAUUUGAUGCACUAAACGUACUAAUCACAACAGUGUGAUCAUACAGUACAAGGAACAGCCAAUGCUGAUCACAUAUGUGUUAUUGCAUGUGUCAAAGGGUAAGAGUGUUCAUAUAUUUUUAAUUAUUAUUCAGUGAUUCCUCCACGUAUCACUAAAAGAAAGCUCACAUACCACAGUUUGAGAACCACUGAAAUAGAUAGUUAGAUAGGUCUAGUCUGUGUCUGGUUUUUUCUUUUUCAGCUAAUGGAGAGGCAGAAGAGGGAGUCUCACAAGAGCAUUGGUGGACAUUUAUCUAAAUGUUGGCGAACAGCAGGUGGGGUUUUGUUGGGGCUGUCUUUGUUUUUUUUGCAGGUUGGAGUGGAGCAAAAGAAGGAGACACACAAGGGGAGCAGUGAAGAUAUACUUGAAGACCUGGAGCUCAGCUAACAGAUUGGCAUGGAGCAUGUGGAGGAACAGGGAAACAGACCUCAGUAAUGACAAGUACAUUGUAAUAAAUGAGAGUGAGUGUCACAGAAGGGACGGGAUUCAGGGGAGCAAUAGAAACAAUGUUUAUUUAUAGGAUGGCAGGUGAGUAUAAGCAGGUGAUUAUUUUGAUGCAGAUGAUAAGUUCAUGAACAUAAACUGGAUAUUUGAUUGUGCAGGCUUAGAGACUGGAGACAGAUACCACAGAUGGAAAACAUGAUGAAGACCAGACGAGGAACCAGGAGAUAUCACAUUAGGAGAGACAUGAGGUUGAAGUGGAGCAGGGAAAGGAGACUCACAAGGGGAACAGUGGAGAUAUACUUGAAGACCUGGUGCUCAGUAAGCAGAUUUUUAUGGACCACAUAGAGAAAAAGGGAAUCACACACCUCAGCAGCUGGAAAUGAAUGGUCAGGAAUUUCUUUAAAAAAAACAGAUGGACGAGUGAAUUGAUGGACGUCCUUUAAAGAUACAGGAGUUGUGGUUGGUAUAGGUAGUAAUUAGGCCUUGGUUUUGUUGGGUUUUUCUCUUUCGGGUAAUGAAGAGAGAGCAGGCAGAAGAGGUAGACUCACAAGAGCAUCGGUGGAAAACAGCACAUAGGGUUUUGUUGGGGCUGUCUUUGUCUUUUGCAGGUUGGAGUGGAGCAGAAGAAGGAGACUCACAGGGAGAACAGUAGAGAGAUACUGGAAGACCUGGAGCUCAGAAAGCAGAUUGGCAUGGAGCAUGUGGAGGAACAGAAAAACACAUGGAUGUGUGCAUGGAU